rnacentral:rRNA from 1 species
AUUGAACGCUGGCGGCAUGUCUUACACAUGCAAGUCGAACGGCAGCACGGGAGCAAUCCUGGUGGCGAGUGGCGAACGGGUGAGUAAUAUAUCGGAACGUGCCCAGUCGUGGGGGAUAACGCAGCGAAAGCUGUGCUAAUACCGCAUACGAUCUACGGAUGAAAGCGGGGGAUAGCAAGACCUCGCGCGAUUGGCGCGGCCGAUAUCAGAUGAGCUAGUUGGUGAGGUAAGGGCCCACCAAGGCGACGAUCUGGAGCUGGUCUGAGAGGACGACCAGCCACACUGGAACUGAGACACGGUCCAGACUCCUGCGGGAGGCAGCAGUGGGGAAUUUUGGACAAUGGGCGAAAGCCUGAUCCAGCAAUGCCGCGUGCAGGAUGAAGGCCUUCGGGUUGUAAACUGCUUUUGUACGGAACGAAACGGUGAGCUCUAAUACAGUUUGCUAAUGACGGUACCGUAAGAAUAAGCACCGGCUAACUACGUGCCAGCAGCCGCCGUAA